GUUUUGAAAAAUUAUUGUCAAAUGGAAAGGGGGGAAAGACAGUAACCCUAGACUCAAAGUAUACACACUUUAUACAUGUUAUGAAAUUUUCUUAUAUUAUAUACAAAACUUUCCAUACCAAUACGUCCACUAUGAUAUUGUUUGUUGUUUACGCGAAUUAGGAUAAGGGCGUUGACCAAUGAGUGCUUCGAUGUCUUCAUAGGUUAAGACUUCGUGUUUGAGUAAGGCUUCUGCAACCU